GAAAUGCGAUAAGUAAUGUGAAUUGCAGAAUUCAGUGAAUCAUCGAAUCUUUGAACGCACAUUGCGCCCGCCAGUAUUCUGGCGGGCAUGCCUGUUCGAGCGUCAUUACAACCCUCAGGCCCCCGGGCCUGGCGUUGGGGAUCGGCGGAAGCCCCCUGCGGGCACAACGCCGUCCCCCAAAUACAGUGGCGGUCCCGCCGCAGCUUCCAUUGCGUAGUAGCUAACACCUCGCAACUGGAGAGCGGCGCGGCCACGCCGUAAAACACCCAACUUCUGAAUGUUGACCUCGAAACAGGUAGGAAUACCCGCUGAACUUAAGC
rnacentral:misc_RNA from 1 species